rnacentral:misc_RNA from 1 species
AAGACUAUAGACCUGCGGAGUACCUGCGGAGGGAUCAUUACCGAGUUUACAAAACUCCCAAACCCUUUGUGAACCUUACCUAUCGUUGCUUCGGCGGGACCGCCCCGGCGCCCUCGCGGCCCGGAACCAGGCGCCCGCCGGAGGCCCCAAACCCUCAUGUCUUUAGUGGUUUCCUCCUCUGAGUGACAUAAACAAAUAAAGUAAAAACUUUCAACAACGGAUCUCUAGAUCGGAAGAGCA